rnacentral:rRNA from 1 species
GAUGAACGCUGGCGGCGUGCCUAAUACAUGCAAGUCGAGCGAACAGACGAGGAGCUUGCUCCUCUGACGUUAGCGGCGGACGGGUGAGUAACACGUGGAUAACCUACCUAUAAGACUGGGAUAACUUCGGGAAACCGGAGCUAAUACCGGAUAAUAUAUUGAACCGCAUGGUUCAAUAGUGAAAGACGGUUUUGCUGUCACUUAUAGAUGGAUCCGCGCCGCAUUAGCUAGUUGGUAAGGUAACGGCUUACCAAGGCAACGAUGCGUAGCCGACCUGAGAGGGUGGACGGCCAAAACUGAAAUUAGAAAAGGGCCCGAAUUCCAACGGAGGGAGGAGUAAGGAAACCUCCGGAAAGGGGGGAAGGCUGAACGGGGAAACGCGCGGGAGGGAAGAAGGUCUUCCGAACGGAAAAACUUGGUAAUUGGGAAGAAAAAAUGGGGAAGGAAACAAGGAAGGUUUGAAGGGUACUUAACCAGAAGGCAACGCUAACUUACUG